GCGAAAAGAACAUCUACAAAGUGUGAGAGGCAGCCGGUUUUUCACCUAACGCCUAAUGGCUAAUGGCUAAUCACUAAAGUGAAAUGAACCUGCAACUCAACCUAAAAAUAAAGGAGAGAAAAAGGAAAAGCU